UACGUAGGGUGCAAGCGUUGUUCGGAAUCAUUGGGCGUAAAGCGCGUGUAGGCUGUUAGUUAAGUCGGGUGUGAAAUCCCUGGGCUCAACCGAGGAAGUGCAUCCGAAACUAAUUAGCUAGAGAGUGGUAGAGGAAGGUGGAAUUCCUAGUGUAGAGGUGAAAUUCGUAGAUAUUAGGAGGAAUACCGGUGGCGAAGGCGGCCUUCUGGACCAUAACUGACACUGAGAGACGAAAGCCAGGGGAGCAAACGGG
rnacentral:rRNA from 1 species